rnacentral:tRNA from 1 species
CUAUAGAUAAGCUAAGGGUAAGCUAGUGGGCUCAUAACCCAAAUAUGGUGCAUGUCCUCUAUAGG